rnacentral:miRNA from 14 species
UCUGUAUUUGUGUUUUUGUUCAUGUCUGUGUGUGUGUGUGUAUACACACACACACACACACACAUAUACACACAUCAAAUCAUCAU